rnacentral:rRNA from 1 species
UACGUAGGAUGCAAGCGUUGUCCGGAGUUACUGGGCGUAAAGGGCCCGCAGGCGGUGGAGUAAGUUUGGAGUGACAGUUCCCAGCUUAACCGGGAAAGGACUUCGAAAACUGCUCGACUUGAGGGCUUCAGAGGGACACGGAAUUCCGGGUGGAGUGGUGAAAUGCGUAGAGAUCCGGAGGAACACCAAAGGCGAAGGCAGUGUCCUGGGGAGUACCUGACGCUCAGGUGCGAAAGCCAGGGGAGCGAACGGG